rnacentral:piRNA from 1 species
UCCAAGUCUUUUGAUGGACAUGCAAGCGGA